CUCCCUUCUCUAGACUAGAUGUUCUCUGCUUGUGUCUUCCAGUGGAGUGAUGGUGAUGACACUGCAAACCCCGCUCUUUAAAAAAAAAAGGAGGAAACUCACACCUUAGGAUGGAUAGAAAUUAUGAAAAUGGCCAAGGCUGAAAAGGGCUCUGAGCAACCUGACCUAGCUGAAGAUGUUUCUGCUCAUUGGAGGAAGGUGGACUAGAUGACCUUGAAAGGUUCUAACUAUUCUAUGAAUAACAGUCAUACAAAGCAGCUUUGGAAAUCCCUGAAGUCAACUUCUAGCCUUCACCAUGAAGA